rnacentral:rRNA from 1 species
GGGUUGUGAGGUUAAGCGACUAAGCGUACACGGUGGAUGCCCUGGCAGUCAGAGGCGAUGAAGGACGUGCUAAUCUGCGAUAAGCGUCGGUAAGGUGAUAUGAACCGUUAUAACCGGCGAUUUCCGAAUGGGGAAACCCAGUGUGUUUCGACACACUAUCAUUAACUGAAUCCAUAGGUUAAUGAGGCGAACCGGGGGAACUGAAACAUCUAAGUACCCCGAGGAAAAGAAAUCAACCGAGAUUCCCCCAGUAGCGGCGAGCGAACGGGGAGCAGCCCAGAGCCUGAAUCAGUGUGUGUGUUAGUGGAAGCGUCUGGAAAGGCGCGCGAUACAGGGUGACAGCCCCGUACACAAAAAUGCACAUGCUGUGAGCUCGAUGAGUAGGGCGGGACACGUGGUAUCCUGUCUGAAUAUGGGGGGACCAUCCUCCAAGGCUAAAUACUCCUGACUGACCGAUAGUGAACCAGUACCGUGAGGGAAAGGCGAAAAGAACCCCGGCGAGGGGAGUGAAAAAGAACCUGAAACCGUGUACGUACAAGCAGUGGGAGCACGCUUAGGCGUGUGACUGCGUACCUUUUGUAUAAUGGGUCAGCGACUUAUAUUCUGUAGCAAGGUUAACCGAAUAGGGGAGCCGAAGGGAAACCGAGUCUUAACUGGGCGUUAAGUUGCAGGGUAUAGACCCGAAACCCGGUGAUCUAGCCAUGGGCAGGUUGAAGGUUGGGUAACACUAACUGGAGGACCGAACCGACUAAUGUUGAAAAAUUAGCGGAUGACUUGUGGCUGGGGGUGAAAGGCCAAUCAAACCGGGAGAUAGCUGGUUCUCCCCGAAAGCUAUUUAGGUAGCGCCUCGUGAAUUCAUCUCCGGGGGUAGAGCACUGUUUCGGCAAGGGGGUCAUCCCGACUUACCAACCCGAUGCAAACUGCGAAUACCGGAGAAUGUUAUCACGGGAGACACACGGCGGGUGCUAACGUCCGUCGUGAAGAGGGAAACAACCCAGACCGCCAGCUAAGGUCCCAAAGUCAUGGUUAAGUGGGAAACGAUGUGGGAAGGCCCAGACAGCCAGGAUGUUGGCUUAGAAGCAGCCAUCAUUUAAAGAAAGCGUAAUAGCUCACUGGUCGAGUCGGCCUGCGCGGAAGAUGUAACGGGGCUAAACCAUGCACCGAAGCUGCGGCAGCGACGCUGAUGCGUUGUUGGGUAGGGGAGCGUUCUGUAAGCCUGCGAAGGUGUGCUGUGAGGCAUGCUGGAGGUAUCAGAAGUGCGAAUGCUGACAUAAGUAACGAUAAAGCGGGUGAAAAGCCCGCUCGCCGGAAGACCAAGGGUUCCUGUCCAACGUUAAUCGGGGCAGGGUGAGUCGACCCCUAAGGCGAGGCCGAAAGGCGUAGUCGAUGGGAAACAGGUUAAUAUUCCUGUACUUGGUGUUACUGCGAAGGGGGGACGGAGAAGGCUAUGUUGGCCGGGCGACGGUUGUCCCGGUUUAAGCGUGUAGGCUGGUUUUCCAGGCAAAUCCGGAAAAUCAAGGCUGAGGCGUGAUGACGAGGCACUACGGUGCUGAAGCAACAAAUGCCCUGCUUCCAGGAAAAGCCUCUAAGCAUCAGGUAACAUCAAAUCGUACCCCAAACCGACACAGGUGGUCAGGUAGAGAAUACCAAGGCGCUUGAGAGAACUCGGGUGAAGGAACUAGGCAAAAUGGUGCCGUAACUUCGGGAGAAGGCACGCUGAUAUGUAGGUGAAGUCCCUCGCGGAUGGAGCUGAAAUCAGUCGAAGAUACCAGCUGGCUGCAACUGUUUAUUAAAAACACAGCACUGUGCAAACACGAAAGUGGACGUAUACGGUGUGACGCCUGCCCGGUGCCGGAAGGUUAAUUGAUGGGGUCAGCGCAAGCGAAGCUCUUGAUCGAAGCCCCGGUAAACGGCGGCCGUAACUAUAACGGUCCUAAGGUAGCGAAAUUCCUUGUCGGGUAAGUUCCGACCUGCACGAAUGGCGUAAUGAUGGCCAGGCUGUCUCCACCCGAGACUCAGUGAAAUUGAACUCGCUGUGAAGAUGCAGUGUACCCGCGGCAAGACGGAAAGACCCCGUGAACCUUUACUAUAGCUUGACACUGAACAUUGAGCCUUGAUGUGUAGGAUAGGUGGGAGGCUUUGAAGUGUGGACGCCAGUCUGCAUGGAGCCGACCUUGAAAUACCACCCUUUAAUGUUUGAUGUUCUAACGUUGACCCGUGAUCCGGGUUGCGGACAGUGUCUGGUGGGUAGUUUGACUGGGGCGGUCUCCUCCUAAAGAGUAACGGAGGAGCACGAAGGUUGGCUAAUCCUGGUCGGACAUCAGGAGGUUAGUGCAAUGGCAUAAGCCAGCUUGACUGCGAGCGUGACGGCGCGAGCAGGUGCGAAAGCAGGUCAUAGUGAUCCGGUGGUUCUGAAUGGAAGGGCCAUCGCUCAACGGAUAAAAGGUACUCCGGGGAUAACAGGCUGAUACCGCCCAAGAGUUCAUAUCGACGGCGGUGUUUGGCACCUCGAUGUCGGCUCAUCACAUCCUGGGGCUGAAGUAGGUCCCAAGGGUAUGGCUGUUCGCCAUUUAAAGUGGUACGCGAGCUGGGUUUAGAACGUCGUGAGACAGUUCGGUCCCUAUCUGCCGUGGGCGCUGGAGAACUGAGGGGGGCUGCUCCUAGUACGAGAGGACCGGAGUGGACGCAUCACUGGUGUUCGGGUUGUCAUGCCAAUGGCACUGCCCGGUAGCUAAAUGCGGAAGAGAUAAGUGCUGAAAGCAUCUAAGCACGAAACUUGCCCCGAGAUGAGUUCUCCCUGACUCCUUGAGAGUCCUGAAGGAACGUUGAAGACGACGACGUUGAUAGGCCGGGUGUGUAAGCGCAGCGAUGCGUUGAGCUAACCGGUACUAAUGAACCGUGAGGCUUAACCUUACAACGCCGAAGGUGUUU